rnacentral:lncRNA from 1 species
CGCGGGUCGCGCUGGCCGCGUGGCUCCGGGGAAAUGCUUCCGCCUCUACACGGCCUGGGCGUUCCAGCACGAGCUGGAGGAGACGGCCGUGCCCGAGAUCCAGCGCGCAGACCUGGGCUGCCUCGUGCUGCUGCUCAAGAGCCUGGNUGGGGCGGCGCAUGGCGGAGCUGCCGGUGGAGCCCAUGCUGGCCAAGAUGAUCCUGGCCUCCGAGCAGUGAGUGCCACCGCGGCACCCAAGGGUGGCACCCAUGGGUGUCCCCAGUGUCCCCUACGGGUGUCCCCAUGUCACCUAUGGGUGUCCCCUGGGUGUCCCCCCCCGUCCCCUAUGGGUGUCACCUCUGGAUGCCACCUAUGGGUGUCCCCAGUGUCUCCUAUGGGUGUCCCCUAUGGGUGUCCCCCCUGUCCCCUAUGGGCGUCACUUAUGGGUGCUCCCUGUUGGUGUCCCCAUUGUCACCUAUGGGUGUCACCUAUGGGUGUCCCCUGGGCGUCCCCCCCUGUCCCCUAUGGGUGUCCCCACUGUCCCCUAUGGGUGUCCCCAGUGUCCCCUAUGGGUGUCCCCUAUGGGUGUCACUUAUGGGUGCUCCCUGUUGGUGUCCCCAUUGUCACCUAUGGGUGUCCCCUAUGGGUGUCCCCUAUGGGUGUCCCCUGUGGGUGCCCCCUGGGUGUCCCCACUGUCCCCUGUGGGUGUCACCUAUGGGUGUCCCCAUGUCCCCUAUGGGUGUCCCCCCUGUCCCCUAUGGGUGUCAGUACUGGGUGUCCUUUAUGGGUGCCACCUCUGGAUGCCACCUAUGGGUGUCCCCACUGUCCCCUAUGGGUGCCCCCUGGGUGUCCCCACUGUCCCCUAUGGGUGUCACCUAUGGGUGUCCCUACUGUCCCCUAUGGGUGUCCCCCCUGUCCCCUAUGGGUGUUAGUUCUGGGUGUCCUUUAUGGGUGCCACCUCUGGAUGCCACCUAUGGGUGUCCCCAGUGUCCCCUAUGGGUGCCCCCUGUGGGUGUCCCCUUUGUGUCCCCCAUAGGUGUCCCCUAUGUCACCUGCUGUCCCCUGGGUGUCCCCAUUCCUUCGGUGUUCCCAUCCCCUUGGUGACAUCCCCUUGGUGUCCCCCUCCCCUUGGUGUCCCCCCCCGUGUCCCCAUCUGCUCCCUGUCCCCAUCCCCGUGCUGUCCCCCUUGGUGACAUCCCUGUAGUGUCCCUGUCCCCUCAGUGUCCCCAUCCCCAUGGUGUCCCCCUCAAUGUCCCCCUCCCCUGGGUGUCCCCAUCCCCUCAGUGUCCCCAUCCCCUUGGUGACAUCCCCCUCGGUGUCCCCAUCCCCAUGCUGUCCCCCUUGGUGACAUCCCUGUAGUGUCCCUGUUCCCUCAAUGUCCCCCUCCCCUGGUGUCCCCAUCCCCUCA